GGGGAUGUAGCUCAGUUGGUAGAGCGCUGGACUUUCAAAUCCAGAGGUCGCUAGUUCGAAGCUAGCCAUCCCAG
rnacentral:tRNA from 1 species